AGAGUUUGAUCCUGGCUCAGGACGAACGCUGGCGGCGUGCCUAACACAUGCAAGUCGAACGGAACUGAUUUGAAAUAUUUCUUCUGAAUGAAUUUGAUUUAGUUUAAUGGCGGACGGGUGAGUCACGCCUGAAUAGCCUGACUUCAAGAGGGGGAUAACGUUCUGAAAAGAAUGCUCAUACCGCCUGACAUAUCCUAAUCACAAUGGGUCUGAUAUCCAAGAUUUUAUCGCUUGAAGAUGGACUCGCGUCCGAUUAGUUAGUUGGUGAGGUAACGGCUCACCAAGACGGCGAUCGGUAGCCGGACUGAGAGGUUGAACGGCCACAUUGGGACUGAGACACGGCCCAGACUCCUACGGGAGGCAGCAGUGGGGGAUAUUGCGCAAUGGGGGCAACCCUGAUGCAGCAACGCCGCGUGAAGGAUGAAGGUUUUCGGAUUGUAAACUUCUUUUAUUAAGGACGAAUUUUGACGGUACUUACUGAAUAAGCUCCGGCUAACUACGUGCCAGCAGCCGCGGUAAUACGUAGGGAGCAAGCGUUGUCCGGAUUUACUGGGUGUAAAGGGUGCGCUAGGCGGGCUUUGCAAGUUCAGAUGUGAAAUCCUAUGGGCUCAACCCAUAAAUUGCAUUUGAAACUGUAGACCUUGAGUGAAGUAGAGGCAGGUGGAAUUCCCGCGUGUAGCGGUGAAAUGCGUAGAGUUGGGGAGGAACACCAGUGGCGAAGGCGGCCUGCUGGGCUUUAACUGACGCUGAGGCUCGAAAGCGUGGGUAGCAAACAGGAUUAGAUACCCUGGUAGUCCACGCCGUAAACGAUGAUUACUAGGUGUGGGGGGUGGGUCCCCUUCCGCACCGGAGUUAACACAAUAAGUAAUCCUCCUGGGGAGGAGGGCGGCAAGGUGGAAACUCAUAGGAAUAGUCGGGGGCCCGCACAACCAGCGGAGUAGGUGGUUUUAUUAGAGGCAACGCGAAGAACCUCCUCAGGUGUUGACAUCCUACUAUGGAAGUAGAGAUACUUUAGGUGCCCUUCGGGGAAAGUUGAGCCAGGUGGUGCAUGGUGUUGUUCGGUUGGUGUGGUGAGAUGUGGGGUUAAUUCCGGCAAGGAGGGCACCCCUUGUUAUUAGUUGUUAGGCAGGAGCAUUUUAAUAGGACUCCGGUGGCCAAAAGGGAGGAAGGGGGGGAGGAGGUCAAUUCUUCAUCCCCCUUAUGACUUGGGUUCCCCACGUAUUCCAAUGGAUGUUACCAGAGGGAAGCAGGCCAGGGAGGGGGAGCAAACUCCUAAAAACAUUCUCAGUUCAGAUUGCAGGCUGCAACCCGCCUGCAUGAAGUUGGAAUUGCUAGUAAUCGCGGAUCAGCAUGCCGCGGUGAAUAAAUUCCCGGGCCUUGCACUCACCGCCCGUCA
rnacentral:rRNA from 1 species